AGUCGCGAUGUCUCCUGUACCUGCAGACAGCGGUGUCGGCAAAACUGUGCCAACCGCUUAAUUUACGGCAGGAACGGAACGGCGUCGCCGAUAACGAACGGAAUUUCGCGGCACAUGAAAUUUUUCGGAGGACCCGUUUUGCACGAGUUUGACCUGGGACUUGACGAAUGAAUUCGCGACAACGAAGAUAAAUAAAACGAGCGCGUUCGGAAAACGCUGGCAGUUAUCUCGUGAGAUCCGUUCAAGCAGACUCCUCCAUGAGCGUCCCAUCGAUCCUAUCUCGGCGCACCCGUUUCACUAUACAAGAACGAUCCAACCGAUCUCUACAAGUCGAAUCAUACGCGCGCAGGUCCGAAUCAAUGACACCGCGAAAAAAGUAAUCGCUCCCCGCUCUUUCCGGCAGCUGCUGAAGAAGAAGAAGAAGAAGAAAAAGAAGUCCUCGAGUUCCACGUAAAAACGAGUUCCAUCGUGUGUCCGGUUUGGCAACGCCGAUGGUCCAUUCACCGUUAACCCCUGAGAUAGGUUUGCGGGAGCUCGAAGAUCACACCGGAAUCUACGCGCGAGGAGGAAGGCGGAGGGGAACAAAACUCGUUAUAUUCCCUAAAACCGAAGUCCCUGAGUCGAACAUACGAGCGUAUGAUGAUACCUGUAUGAGGCUUGCGUAAGCCUGUACCCGAUCGACUACCUGCCCGCAGCGAUGCCCGUUUGCCCGCUCGUCUGCCGGAACCACACCCCGGCACCUUUCUCGAAACCUGGCGCACCUGAAUCUAGCAAAGUGGCACGGAUUUCUGAAAUGCCAGGCAAGCACCGAUAAACCGCGAUAAAUGAUCCUGUCGCUGUACGCUAAUCGCCAAGAUAAGCUAAUUAAUUUUCAGUGUACGAGCUACUCUCUUCUUUUCAUGAAACGUUCGAUAAAUCGUGUACCUGGCCUGUAGCUUCAAAUUUCACUGUUUAUAUCGAUAAGUGGAAAUCCGACUCAAAAACGAUGUAAUGCUACAAAAAGUAUUUUCCAGAUAACAUUUAAAGAAGCAGCUAACAUUUAAAGAUACAGUAUUAUAUUACGUAUAUACUCAAUUCUUAAAGAUAUAACAUAUAGUUUUUUAACUGUAUAUACAUAUAAAAAAUUAAUAU